AUCUUUCUGGUUCAUAAGAAUGAUGAUUGGUGCUUUCACGGAAUCUCUGUGAAAGGUGCAGCCCUCACCUUGUUACGCUCUGCGCCUCAGCCCUUCUGAUC